CCUACGGGAGGCAGCAGUGGGGAAUUUUCCGCAAUGGGCGCAAGCCUGACGGAGCAACGCCGCGUGAGGGAUGAAGGCCUCUGGGCUGUAAACCUCUUUUCUCAAGGAAGAAGACCUGACGGUACUUGAGGAAUAAGCCACGGCUAAUUCCGUGCCAGCAGCCGCGGUAAUACGGGAGUGGCAAGCGUUAUCCGGAAUUAUUGGGCGUAAAGCGUCCGCAGGCGGCCUAUUAAGUCUGUCGUUAAAGCGUGGAGCUCAACUCCAUUUAAGCGAUGGAAACUGGAAGGCUAGAGUGUGGUAGGGGCAGAGGGAAUUCCCGGUGUAGCGGUGAAAUGCGUAGAUAUCGGGAAGAACACCAGUGGCGAAGGCGCUCUGCUGGGCCAUAACUGACGCUCAUGGACGAAAGCCAGGGGAGCGAAAGGGAUUAGAUACCCCUGUAGUCCUGGCCGUAAACGAUGAACACUAGGUGUCGGGGGAAUCGACCCCCUCGGUGUCGUAGCUAACGCGUUAAGUGUUCCGCCUGGGGUAGUACGCACGCAGUGUGAACUACAAUAGAAUAGACGCGUGAGACGNGCCGACGACGACGACGAGGGAGUAGG
rnacentral:rRNA from 1 species